rnacentral:rRNA from 1 species
UACGAAGGGGGCUAGCGUUGCUCGGAAUCACUGGGCGUAAAGCGCACGUAGGCGGAUUGUUAAGUCAGGGGUGAAAUCCCAGGGCUCAACCCUGGAACUGCCUUUGAUACUGUCGAUCUGGAGUAUGGAAGAGGUGAGUGGAAUUCCGAGUGUAGAGGUGAAAUUCGUAGAUAUUCGGAGGAACACCAGUGGCGAAGGCGGCUCACUGGUCCAUUACUGACGCUGAGGUGCGAAAGCGUGGGGAGCAAACAGG